rnacentral:rRNA from 1 species
CAACCUUAACGAUGGAUGUCUUGGUUCCUACAGCGAUGAAGGCCGUAGCAAAAUACGAUAGGCAAUGAAGCUUGCUUACUUUUGUAUCUCUGCAAAUCAUCAUCAGAAUGCUGAAUGUAAACUACACUCUCAAGAGAAGAGGCU